rnacentral:rRNA from 1 species
AUCUACUGCCAUACCAUCCUGAAUGCGCCUGAUCUCUUCUGAUCUUGGAAGCUAAGCAGGGUCGGGCCUAGUUAGUAUUGGAUAGGAGAAUAAUACAGGGUAUU